rnacentral:lncRNA from 1 species
GGAGGGUGGGUGGGGGGUAUGUAAGGUCAGUGGCCGGGGGGUGCCUGCGGAUAGGUCUUGGUGCGGCUGGGUCUUCCAAAUGGUUUUGAAGAGGUAAGGGGUGUGACGGUGAGGGAAGGGUGGCUGGUGGGUUGGCUAUGAAGAUGGGAUCUACUAGGGGCGGCUGGGAUAUCAAGAUGGGGCUGGGAAGGAUGGAGAGAGAGGAGAGAAGGGAGAGAAUUUUUUUAAAAACGUUUUUCAAGAGAAAAUAUAUUUUUUUAACACAUGGCACUUAUGUGUCAUAUAUCUUAACAAAAUAGUGGGUCCCACUUAUACCCCAUUAGCAUUUUUAAUGGAUUAUUUGACGGAUU